AGAGCGUCUCAAGCUUCCACUCUUCUUUUUCUACAUUGACAUAGAACUGCUUAAUACCCUCAAGGGUGAGCUCAUCUCGCUUCACAAGGAUCCUUACAGGUUUGCUCAUGAACUUGCGGGUUAUCUCCAGGGCCUCAGGAGGCAUUGUGGCAGAGAAGACCCCAACCUGGAUUUUAGAAGGAAGAAGUUGGAAGAUGUCGUAGAUCUGCAGUGAAGAGUCAACUGUUAGAACAUAAAGAAGCAGAAUCCCCUUGCAACCAUCAAGUUGAAGUAUCAGAUUGAAGGACAUCAAAGGUGAAAUAAACAAGUAACCACAUCACAAAAAUAUAAUAUGAAUUCACCUGCCAAAGCACACACUCAGGCAUCAUAAGGUGCAGGUGUCAUAAUUUUACAUGAGCCACUGAUAAUCUAGCGGCAGAAGCAACACAUGUAGACUGAGCAUUAACAACAUAGAAUCAAAGCAAAUCAUAUUUUUGUUAAAGUACUGUGGACCAUCAACUUCCUAUUUAGUCACAGGAAGCACAAGGUGUGGGCAUUAAGAAAUGCAGUCAAAAAAUCAUACAAGUCAAAAAAGAAUUGCAUGCAAAAGAAUUCAGACUUUCUGUGCAACUACUGAUUAAGUGAAAGACAGUACUGUUCAAGUGCAGAAGUUUCCUUAAUUACCUUUUUCCAGUGAUGCACAAUAUUUUGUAUACAAGCAUUCAACAUAAACUUCAGAGGCCAACAUACCAUCCAAUCUAUCAAAACCAUGAUGACAACAAAUGAAUUCACAAGCUCUUAUCAUUUGAACUUGUCCAAUAUAUUCUUAAUUGUCCAUAUAAACAACCAUAUUUUUAAUUUUGCAGUGCCUACGACAAAGGCAUGCAUAUGACUUAGAUUCACUUAUGUAAGCAAAUUUCUAGAUAAACAAAUUGAACAUUCAGAGUUAUAGGAGUCAGCUGUUGAGAAAGCACUUUCCACCUGUCAACUUACAAGGUUAUUGCAAUCUUAAAGCUACCACAUCGUCAGCAACAAAAACACAAUGCCAGUAAAGAAGUGAAAAGACUCUGAUGCGCCACAAAAACUCAAGAUAUGCUAACUAUAACUGAGCACAAUACUGUAUACUUCAAUAGUAACAAACUAAAAAAAUCAAAAUAAGGAACUAAAUAUAUAAGUAAGACGAAAAAUAAGACCAUAUUCCCAUUAAAAAUGAGCAACCUUGGAAUCUUCCGCAUGCAUCAUUUGCUGUCUCAGUUUAAAUAAAAGCAAGAAAGAUUCAGGGAAACACAAGAAAGGUUGAAAAGGAAUACACAAAGAGGGCACCUGGUCCUUGAAACCACGUGAAAGCAUUUCAUCAGCUUCAUCCAGUACGAACAUCCUAAUGUAGUCAGGACGGAGCGAUUGCCUUCGCAACAUGUCAAACACACGACCUGGGGUACCAACAACAACAUGAACCCCACUUGAAAGAAUCCGUUGAUCCUCACGAACACUGGUUCCUCCAACGCAUGCAUGAACUUUCACACCCAGGUAGUCACCAAGUGCUCGCAUGACCUUCUCAAUUUGCUGUGCUAGUUCUCGAGUUGGAGCAAGAACUAAAGCCUGGCAUUCAACCAACCCAUAAUCAAGCUGCUGCAAAAUUCCAGAACAGAAAGUUGCAGUUUUUCCUGUUCCCGAUUGUGCUUGCUGAAUUACAUCAAGCCCCUUGCAGAAGGGAACGAUUCCUCUUUGUUGAAUUGCAGAGGGCUUUUCAAAACCUACAGAUACACGAUACUUGUCAGUCCUAAUCCAAGUGCAUUAUUAAACUAAAAGUAUGAGAAGUUAAUUAUAUAUGUCUCUACCAUAAGCAUAAAUGCCCCUCAGAAGAUUUUCUUGGAGCCCCAUAGCAUCAAAACUAUCAUAAACCUCGUCGUAUGAUGUAAAGAAUUCCUGACCAUCUGUUGACAACCUACACUCAUGGACACAUAACAAAUCCAAAUGUGACUAUAAUAAGAAAAUGGUAUUUAUGAUAACAAAUAUACAAGAAUUCAUGGAAAGGGCAAAAGAAUUUAUAGUAAAACAAAAUACAAAGAUUGUAAGUAAGAGGCAAUACAGCUCAUUCAUCUUGGAAUCAUAUUGACGAGCAUCAAAUUGAGAUCCUUCUGGUGCUAUUCCUGCCAUGCCUGCAAACAAGAGGUAAAAACUAAUAACCAAUUCCAUUUGACAAUGAAGCAAAGCCAAUUUCAAGAGAGGGAAAAAAACUAAUUAUAAUUCUCAUAAACAGAUAUCCCAAAUUAAAAAAAAUGCCUGAAGCAGAAGCAUUAAGUCUCCAAGAUGCCACAUGAUAACUAAUGGUGAUCAAACAGAUGCAUAAUAUGUUGUUAGUAUUCAAGCAGUACAAACAGAACAGGAUCAAAAAGUAAAAGAAACAAGUGUAAAGCGACAUUACAAAGCAGUUAAUGUCAUGCAAUUUGCAUAGAAGACAAUCGCUUGGGCGAUGAGAGGAAAACAACUGGUAAAUGUUAGCCAAUGAGACAAAAAAAGACCAGGUUAUCUCAUGAAGAAACUUCUCCUGAAACAUAUUCAGCUUAGGGAAUAGAGAGAAACUUCUGACUUCGGUUCGCCGGUUCAGGCUCAACUCCUUGCUUUACUUUAGCAGACCUGUAGGUCGGGUCAAGGCUCCGCGCUCUCUUUCUGUGUGGGACAAUGCUGUGCAAUGCGUCUAGGUGGCGAACAACAACAGAACUAUGGUCUCUUUCUUUCAUUAAGUAUUAUCUAUUCUUGUAUUUUGUAUUUAUUAUAGUAUAUAUAUUAUAGUAUAUGUACUAUAGUAUCUUUAUUAUAGUAUAUUUAUUGUAUGACCAACCAAUUACUUGAAAUGCAAUGCAAGAUUCAAACAAAAAAAACUUCAUCCAAUUUUCAAUAUGGCUUUGCUUUCGAAAUUAUUGUUUUAAUGUCUUUCUCUAUUUCCCUGGUUCGUGUUCGAUACUAUUUUUACAGGCAUUACAAAAGGGAUCAUAGGCAGCAGGCUACAAGGCAGUGGGCUACAAAGCAGGGGUAGCCCUCCCACAAAUACCCCUAUCCCCAUAAAUCCUGGUGAAUGUAGGAUUCAGUCCCAGGUCAUUUGGUGCAACUGCCAAAAAAAUUGCCACUUGAUAAGCUGGCACUUUGUUCCAAAUUUGUUUUGCUAACUUAAUCAAUCAUUAAUAGUAACAAGCUAAACAAUCUGAGUGGCCCAUACAUUGAACUUAUACAUUGGAAUUGUUCGCUUAUUGUUGGCAAAACCAAUGCACAAUAAGGGGUCAAAACGAGAUAUGCCAUUUAAGAGAACACAAGAAAAGCUUAAUCCUUGCAAAAGAAUAAUGAAUGAUACCAUAGGAAACAAAAAACUCUUGAAAGCUUGUUAAAAAAAACAGUUCAACUGCAAGAUUCUGUUGCUCAAAAAAUAAUUAGUAGAAAACACUGAUAGGGGGUGGCGAAUAUUACAAGAAAAUCGUUUGAUCUGAAUAUGAGAAAACGAAAGAAAAAGAAAAGCAGGACACAUAUUAACCAAAUGGAUAGGCAUGCAAAUCUCCAUUAUCAGAUAUUGAUACAACAAAUGAUAAGGUUAUGUUGUAAAUCAAUUAUUGCUUUCUUACACUUCCAUAAAUUAAUAAUCAUCUUUGGCUUGAUAUAUUGCUGCAUUUAAGAAUAAUUAUUUUUAAGUUCCUGAACAAUAUCAUAAUUAUAAUUUGAUCACAAAUUAUUUUCCAGGCGAUAUUGCCAUCUUCUUAAAAAGGAUUUAAUUCAUGUUAAUUUUGUUCAGAUUUGCAAUUCACUUCCAAGUAUUAAUGCUUCUCUUAGGACUGUUAAUGCCUCUAUGGUAUGACAUGUGAGUGAUCCAUGAACAAUUAACAGAUAACAUAAUGAACAAAGUGCAAGCCAGCAGAGCCAUUAUGUACCAUGCCAAUGCCUUACUGGCAAAAGGCGUUGGCACACUAUAGGUUGCAUGCAAGUGUUUACCACAAAAUGGUGCCAAUGCAUGCCAAGCACUAGCACAACAUGGUAUGUACCAUAAAAGCGCUACACCGGUACAAUCCAGCACCCAGUACAUCAAUCCUUUAAGAACAUAGCUAUGCACAUUAGGGAAGAAAACUGCAAGAUAAAAGGAUGUGUUUGAAAGAGAUGACUAAAAAUUAUCAAAUACCUAAACCCACUACUAGUUGAUUAUGUGUUUUUAGAGAAUUUAAUUCUUCAUAUUGUUAAUAAGAAUGGAAAGAGUUUAAAAAAAACAUCAUUUGAUGGCAUCAUUUACUAAAAAUUUGGACUCUAAGUAGCAACAUUGAUGAUUUAUUUCCUAUAUGGAUAGUCCAAGUUCCGAAAAUAUGGCAUUCAAUCAAAGUUAUACAUACAUUGAGCUUUCAGUGCAUGCCAAGAUACACAAAGUAAUAGCCAUGUCGAUCAAAGUGACAAAGAAAUCAAAUUCAAUUUUUUUUAUGUAAGAGAUUGCUUUUUAAACAAUAUAUUUCUAUUUUAUUGAUAACAGAUAUCUUGCAUGGAUGAGUAGAAAAAUCCUGAUUUGUCAAGUACAAUGUCCAACACAUGACAAAAUAUGAUUACCAAAUCCAUGGAUGUGCCUUACUGCCAUUAACAAUUUGAAAACAAACUCAGGCAUAUGUAUAUUGCAAAGGUACAAACAUUUGAAUUCAAAGAGUCAAAGCAAGAAAUCAGGGUUAAGGACUCGGCAUUGUGGAAUAUAUUUUUAUCCAUUAAUACAAGAUAUUUGCUUAAAAAGGUAAAGGUCCAAACACAAAGAGAAGCAACUAGCUUCUGUAGUUAUCUCAUCUAUAUGAAUGAUAUAACAUAUCCUAGCAUCCUUGGAUAACCAAUGAUUUAUAGAUCUUUCGUAUAGCAAAUCUCAUGAAGAAUGUAAUAUGCCAACAAGUUGCAACUUAGGGAAGCGUGUGAAGUACUCUUUUUCUUCUUUUUUCUCCCGAGUAGAUGCAAGAGUAAAAAUAAAAACUAUCUAAAUGAAUUAUUCACAUGUGUAAAAAAAAUCUCAAGAACAAAACCUAAAGAAUUACAGUGAAAUUCCUGAGAAAUCAAAAAAAAAAGCAGGCAGAUUUGGACAUAGAAUUAAAAUUCCAAAACCAUACACCAUCAAAUGACUAGAAGUACCAUGCAAGCUUUUUUUUCUCCCGCAUUCAUACACCUAAAGCACUUACAUUCAGAAAAGGCAUGUAGACUAAUAGUAAAAGAUAUAGUAUGGGAAUCCUAAUAGGUGAGAAUCAAGAAAAAAACCAUAAAAACAGUUUGUACUCUAAGCUCAGCACAGGAAACAAGAAACAAGAAGUAAACAACAGAAUUGCGGAGCAUAUCAGAUGAAUUCAGUAAAAACGGAAAAAUAAAAAGAAUGCCCGGAGGAAAAGCAACGUUAAACGAUCUGGCCUCAAUUCAUAGAAUUUCUUUAUCUUAAGCUACCCAAAAACAAGCAGGAGUAGCAAAUCUCUGACACGGCGGAACGAUUUUUACUGAAAUAUGAAAACCAUAAUGUUCUAUCCCAAUAUCGAAGGGACGCAUUAAUACUAUUUCCGUAAUUUUUUUUUAAAAAAGAAGCCUUCUUGGAACACAUUAAUUACAAAAAAAUCUAACCUAGCAACCAUGAAUCCAGCAUGCCCAUCUAGAUCCGACUUCAAAGGGAAAAGGCCGAGUAAAGAACGGUCAAAGCGACGCUCCAAGAAAGAGCCCUUUUUUUAUCUAAAUUGAUGAAACCCUAGCCCUAUCAACGAACAGAACUGACCAGAUCCUCCCAAUUCCAAAUAGAUCGAAAAAGAAAACAGAACAAAAACAGUAAAUAACCCUAAAUUUCCAAACGCAACUAUAACUAUCUAAAACGACAAAGAGCAAAGAAGAAAAAGAAAACACAAUAAGACCUCCAAAUCCAACAAAAUCGAUCAGAUCCAGAAAUUUCCGGUGAAAGAUAAAACAGCAGCACUGUUUCAUCCGCGUAAAACGAACACAGAAAAAGGAUACAGACAUCUAAAGAUUCAUAAGACGAUCUAUACUGCACCUGCUUGCGAUAUAGAGAAGGCUCCACUGCUGAUGGUGAUUACCGAGGAGAGAGAUAAAUCGAAUCGACAGAGCCGAUCAACUGCCGAACCCGAGAUCGAGCUCGGAUUCAACGGCGGUGGGAGGAGUUGUAAGCGGCCUCGAGAGGGACCUUUUAAAGGUAACCAGAGGUAGACGAGUGCGACGCGGCUAGGGUUUCCCGCUCCGACUCGCUGUGGGAUUGGGCCGGCCCAGUUCUUCGAACUGGAAUCUCUAACGGCCCGGCCUGGUCCGGUUGGACGCCACGUUUUAUUUCUCUCCUUUUUUUUUUCCCUCUACUUUCUGAAAAAGAAAAAUAAUAUGCAUGCACCAUCUGGCCGUACAGGCUACUAAUCACAGCAGCUCAUUUUUUCAGUAGUAAUGCAUCGCGAUGAAUAUAAAAUCUAUAGAAACGAGCAGCUAUAAGUUGGAUGCCCUGUGCUAGAAAAAUUAUACCCUGCACGGCAUGCACCAUGCCAAGCCGCCAACCAUCCGUCUCUUCCUACGGCUCCAUCCAUCGUGUGCUCGUGUUGGUGUACGCGAUGUAGUGUAUAAGUUGCCUUCCUCUCACUAACGGCUCUAUCAUGAUACUAUCACUGCUCAUACCAUGAAGCUGCAUUUGAUUUGAGAAGUGCUGGUAUAACACAAACUUCACAGAAAAUAGUUAUUAGAUCUUUCAAUAGCAAUCAAAAUUUUGAUGGCUGUUUAUCAUGUUCUUGUGACGUUUCUGUGUCAUCAUAGCACUCCUCUAAAUUUCAUAGGACCCACUUUACUCACAUGACAAUGACAAAUCAGCAGCUUUAUUGGUGUAAUGUUGCCAUAUCAGCUGUUAAACUAUUGCCCCUUGAUUAUGUUUUAUAAUCUUCCUCAGGAGAGGAGUAUCAGAGCAGUACAGAGCUGAUGGAAGAGCCAGCCCCCACAGCCAUACGUCGCCUGUUUACCAAUAUCCAUAACACUUUACAUCAAAAAAACACAAUAUCCAUAAUACAAGUAAAUAUAAAUUACCUGCUUAAUCCUUCAUCUCUUGUUUGAAAUAAAAGUAUUUUGGUUAUAAUCUCUGGCUAUACACAAGAUAACACGGGUGCAUUGUACUUUUUUUCUGCUAAAAUGGAUACCAUGCACUUUACCAACGCAUUUACCAGCCAUGCUUUUGUGAGCAAAGAGAAACAAACUCCUUCAGCAGCUCUGCAGCUGCUUACAGCGUCUUCCAAACUUGUCACCACCCGGGAAAAGAACUGGCUCCAAAACACCCAUCGGACAGUUUGAUGGUAACACAGGCGCCAUGGAUCACGCAUCCAUCAAAAUGAGAAAGUGAGGCAAUUGAUGUCAUGCUCAUGUGACCGCAUCAUAAUAUACAAUUUAAAAGAUGCGCCAAAUGAUCUAAUCGGCAUUGGAGCCAGUUCUAACAACAACUCCUCUCAAAAGAUGAACCCACCACACGUGUAUACUCAAAUGCAACAGGACGAGAGAGCAAGCUAGGGAGGGAGAGAGAGCAUCAAAGAAUCUUAAAUAAUUGUGUGCAGCAAAUAAAGAAAUAAUGAAACCAAACUUCAAAAAAAAAAGACGAAAAAUUACAAUCCUCAACUUCAGUGUAACCACGAAAUCGACAACAAAAUCAAACAACUAGAAAAACUUGCAAAGAUGGGUUAAAAAUAAGUUUGCUUCAGAUCACCGUCAGAGCAAAUGGUCCGAACACAUAACCACCGGACAGUAGGAUUAAGUUUGACAAGAAUAGCAUUCGAAAAAGAAAACCCUACAAACAUAAAAUUUAAAUACUAUAUUAACACAAACUCAUCAUAGGAGGUCAGCAACAUUUGAUGGCAGCUCCUCAAUGACAACAUUGUAGAACCUCUGAAUAUCGAACAACAUCCUUUCAUCAUCACGAGUGACAAAGUUGAUCGCAACACCCUUCCUUCCGAAACGUCCGCUUCGUCCAAUUCGGUGAAGAUAGUUCUCUGGUUGGGUUGGCAGAUCGUAAUUUAUGACCAGCGAGACUUGCUGGACAUCAAUACCACGAGCAAGUAGAUCAGUGGUGAUGAGAACACGGGAGGAACCAGAACGGAAUUCACGCAUUAUAAUGUCCCUAGUGUUCUGAUCCAUGUCUCCAUGUGUGGCAGAGACCGUGUGAUCCCUGCUCCUCAUCUUGUCAGCAAGCCAAUCAACCUUGCGCCGGGUGUUCACAAAGAUGACACUCUGAGUGAUGGCCAGAGUCUCAUAAAGAUCACAGAGUGUCUCAAGCUUCCACUCUUCUCUCUCGACAUUGACAUAGAACUGCUUAAUACCCUCAAGGGUGAGCUCAUCUCGCUUCACAAGGAUCCUCACAGGUCUGUUCAUGAACUUGCGGGUUAUCUCAAGGGCUUCAGGAGGCAUUGUGGCAGAGAAGACCCCGACCUGGAUUUUAGAAGGAAGCAGCUGGAAGAUGUC
rnacentral:lncRNA from 1 species